UCCUACUGAGUUGGCCUCUUUGGCCCAUCUUCACAUUGUUAAGUCAGUACUAAGUAUUUGAUUAGCAUGGCAGAUAGAUUGGUUGAUAUCCCAAUUCAAGAUUUGGUGACUCUUCGGGAUUUCUAUAAAGGAGACUGGCCCACGUAUAAUAUCGGAUAUGGUAUCGUGGAUACAUAUGUACGGUGGCUCGGUAAAGAUCCCAACAUCCCCCAUAUCCGUAUUUUCUCGUUGAAUGGUGAUUGGAGUGAUGGUACUUUUAUUAUUAUAGUAAGUACACUUGAACCAAGAUCAGAGAACGCUCAGCUUUCCACUUAAAUAUGAUUAUAAAAUGAAGAUACUUUUCCAUUGCGUUUUUAUCGAUCUUAGAUGCAUAGCUGUCCAUAUAGAUGCUGUAGAUGGAAAACGAACGAACAAGUGAACAUUGAAUUGACUGGAGUAUGGUCUACUGCAAUACACGAAAUACCAAUUUCACUCGUCUACUAAAAGCCCUAUCUCUUAUCGAUUGGAGUAAAGGAUACACAAUUGGUUCCAUCGGAUGUGAUGAUGAUGAUGAGAUAAAUAAUUUCGUCAAGGACAACAAAAUUGAGGUUGAUUUCGUAAACCCCACAAAGUGGUAUCGGUUGCCUCAAGCAGAAGCCGUAAAGUUCGUUGUAAAUCCCCCUCAUGGUAUCACACUUAGGCCUCUAACCGAAGUAGAUGCAGUCACUGCUAACGCUUUGUGGCACCACAAUUAUCCUGGUUCCGUUGUGUAUUUGAAACGCAUGGUUAAGUAUAACAUCAGUGUUGGAGCUUUUACAUCAGAAGGACAGUUAGUGGCAUGAUGCUUCAGAAUUCCAGCUGGCUGUCUCGGAACCCUCGAAGUUAUAGAGUCGCAUAAACGAAAAGGACUUGGAAGCUUGAUGGUACGGGCUAUGGCUAAAGCUAUAGCUGAAACAGGGGAUGAUGUCUUCUCUCCAGUGGUGGUCGAUAAUUAUCCAUCGAUUAAAAUGUUUGAAAGACUCGGAUUCAAAGUUUGU